rfam:Zootermopsis nevadensis contig7467, whole genome shotgun sequence.
UGGUCUAGCGGUCAGAACGCUGGGCUUGUAAUCCUGGGGCCCCGGGUUCGAUUCCCGG